AUUGAAUUCCUAGGUAUGUGCCAAGUGUCACAGAAUUCUGGGGAAAGUCCCUUAGUUUGAUUUCGGCCCCUUAAUCCUGCCAUCUUGGCAUGAGUCCGAGGUUUUAAAUCUAAGCCAGUAGUUAAAGAAGAACUUACACCCCAGUAACUGCUAUAAAAGUGCUUACAGGCGGGAGGUGUGCCGAGGAGUAAAAUCUAAAAAACACUUACCUCUGCAGAACUGAUGCGUUAAAAAGGUGGACGUAGGCUGAUUGACACUUUAAGGUCGUUACGUCAUCAUUAAAGCACAUCUUUAAAUGUCGCAGAUAGAGUUAGACAGAAAUUGACAUGACCUGGCUAAGAGUUACUAGAGUUACAGUCCUCAGAGUUAGGGGUGUUCAUUGCAGGACCACAGUAUUCAAUGGAUGUCUCUUACUUAUUGCCAGCUCUCCAUGUUGACCACCCAUCUCUCUGUUUAAUGCUCUGUUCCCUUUUAACUGCCCCUACUGUGCAUUCUUCCCCCUUCCCUGACCUGCGCCCUGCAAGCCCCCCAACUGCCCCGGUCUACGCUUAUUGUCCCACUUGUUCAUUCUGACCCCUUUCUCACACUGGAUAAUGUAUGUCUCGCUCUCAUGGACAUUGACUAAUGUCUCCCGGUCAUUGCGUAAAGCCUCCUGGUCAUUGUGUAAAGACUCCCGGUUAUUGAGUAAAAUCUCCCUCCAUUUGGUUUCCAUUCAGAGCCUUCUGCGUGGUGACAGUAAAGGCCCAGCCUUUCAGCACAUCCUCCCAUGUUAUGUUCAGGAAGAUGGCGUAGGCCGUGGGAUUUGUUCACCUCCUCAGUCACUGAGUAGAAUAUUCCUGAUGGGAG